rnacentral:rRNA from 1 species
GUCCAGACUCCUACGGGAGGCAGCAGUGGGGGAUAUUGCACAAUGGGGGGAACCCUGAUGCAGCGACGCCGCGUGGGUGAAGAAGCGCCUCGGCGCGUAAAGCCCUGUCAGCAGGGAAGAAAAUGACGGUACCUGAAGAAGAAGCCCCGGCUAACUACGUGCCAGCAGCCGCGGUAAUACGUAGGGGGCAAGCGUUAUCCGGAUUUACUGGGUGUAAAGGGGGCGCAGACGGCGAUGCAAGCCAGGAGUGAAAGCCCGGGGCCCAACCCUGGAACUGCUCUGGAAACUGUGCGGCUAGAGUACUGGAGGGGCAGGCGGAAUUCCUAGUGUAGCGGUGAAAUGCGUAGAUAUUAGGAGGAACACCAGUGGCGAAGGCGGCCUGCUGGACAGUAACUGACGUUGAGGCUCGAAAGCGUGAGGAGCAAACAGGAUUAGAUACCCGCGUACC